rnacentral:rRNA from 1 species
UUGGAAAUGACUGCUAAUACCGCAUAAGCCCCACGGCUCGGCAUCGAGCAGAGGGAAAAGGAGCAAUCCGCUUUGAGAUGGCCUCGCGUCCGAUUAGCUAGUUGGUGAGGUAACGGCCCACCAAGGCGACGAUCGGUAGCCGGACUGAGAGGUUGAACGGCCACAUUGGGACUGAGACACGGCCCAGACUCCUACGGGAGGCAGCAGUGGGGAAUAUUGCACAAUGGGGGAAACCCUGAUGCAGCGACGCCGCGUGGAGGAAGAAGGUCUUCGGAUUGUAAACUCCUGUUGUUGAGGAAGAUAAUGACGGUACUCAACAAGGAAGUGACGGCUAACUACGUG